rnacentral:tRNA from 1 species
GGGAAAGUAGCUCAGUGGUAGAGCACUUGCCUUGCAUGCAUGAGACCCUGGGUUCGAUUCCUCAGCACCA